AGAGUUUGAUCCUGGCUCAGAUUGAACGCUGGCGGCAGGCCUAACACAUGCAAGUCGAGCGGUAGAGAGGUGCUUGCAUCUCUUGAGAGCGGCGGACGGGUGAGUAAUGCCUAGGAAUCUGCCUAGUGGUGGGGGAUAACGUUCGGAAACGGACGCUAAUACCGCAUACGUCCUACGGGAGAAAGCGGGGGAUCUUCGGACCUCGCGCCAUUAGAUGAGCCUAGGUCGGAUUAGCUAGUUGGUGAGGUAAUGGCUCACCAAGGCGACGAUCCGUAACUGGUCUGAGAGGAUGAUCAGUCACACUGGAACUGAGACACGGUCCAGACUCCUACGGGAGGCAGCAGUGGGGAAUAUUGGACAAUGGGCGAAAGCCUGAUCCAGCCAUGCCGCGUGUGUGAAGAAGGUCUUCGGAUUGUAAAGCACUUUAAGUUGGGAGGAAGGGUAGUAACCUAAUACGUUGCUACUUUGACGUUACCGACAGAAUAAGCACCGGCUAACUUCGUGCCAGCAGCCGCGGUAAUACGAAGGGUGCAAGCGUUAAUCGGAAUUACUGGGCGUAAAGCGCGCGUAGGUGGUUCAGCAAGUUGGAUGUGAAAGCCCUGGGCUCAACCUGGGAACUGCAUCCAAAACUACUGAGCUAGAGUACGGUAGAGGGUAGUGGAAUUUCCUGUGUAGCGGUGAAAUGCGUAGAUAUAGGAAGGAACACCAGUGGCGAAGGCGACUACCUGGACUGAUACUGACACUGAGGUGCGAAAGCGUGGGGGAGCAAAACAGGAUUAGAUACCCUGGGUAGUCCACGC
rnacentral:rRNA from 1 species